AGAGUUUGAUCCUGGCUCAGGAUGAACGCUGGCGGCGUGUCUAAGGCAUGCAAGUCGAACGAAUACCGUAGCAAUACGGUAUGAGUGGCAGACGGGAGCGUAACACAUUGGUAACCUACCCCAUACACGGGAAUAACAUUGCGAAAGCGGUGCUAAUGCCCGAUGGUCUAGUCUUGCGAAAGUAAGAUUAGUAAAGCUCAGGCGGUACGGGAGGGGCCUAUGUCCUAUCAGCUAGUUGGUGAGGUAAUGGCUCACCAAGGCAACGACAGGUAGCGGGCGUGAGAGCGUGGCCCGCCUCAUAGGAACUGAGACACUGUCCUGACUCCUACGGGAGGCUGCAGUCGAGAAUAUUCCACAAUGGCCGAAAGGCUGAUGGAGCGACGCCGCGUGCAGGAAGAAGCCCUUCGGGGUGUAAACUGCUUUUUUUUAGGGAUGAACAAAUGACGGUACCUAAAGAAUAAGAGGUUGCUAACUCUGUGCCAGCAGCAGCGGUAAUACAGAGACCUCAAGCGUUGUCCGGAUUAACUGGGCGUAAAGCGUCCGCAGGUUGUUUUAUAAGUUUUUGGUCAAAUGCCACGGCUCAACCGGGGACUCGCCAAGAAUACUGUAAAACUUGAGGCUGGGAGAGGUAAGCGGAACUGCCGGUGUAGCGGUAAAAUGUGUUAAUAUCGGCAGGAACACCAAAGGCGAAGGCAGCUUACUGGAACAGUCCUGACACUCAUGGACGAAAGCGUGGGGAGCAAAAGGGAUUAGAUACCCCUGUAGUCCACGCCCUAAACUUUGAAUGCUAGAUAUUCGGAGUAUCGACCCUCCGAGUGUCGUUUACAAAAGCUAACGCGUUAAGCAUUCCGCCUGGGAAGUACGGCCGCAAGGCUAAAACUCAAAGGAAUAGACGGGGACCUGCGCAAGCGGUGGAGCAUGUGGUUUAAUUCGACGAUAAGCGAGGAACCUCACCAGGACUUGACAUAUAGCUGCAAGCUCCGAGAAAUCGGAGCCGCCUUAGAGGGUGCUAUACAGGUGCUGCAUGGUUGCCGUCAGCUCGUGGCGUGAGCUGUUCCCUUAAUUGGGGUAACGAGCGCAACCCUUAUCUUGUGUUGCAUAUUCACAAGAGACUGCCCCGGGAUACGGGGAGGAAGGCGGGGACGACGUCAAAUCAGCAUGGCCCUUACGUCCUGGGCCACACACAUGCUACAAUGGCCGGUACAAUGGGUCGCCAAGCCGAAAGGCGGAGCUAAUCCCAUCAAAACCGGUCUCAGUUCGGAUUGAGGUCUGCAACCCGACCUCAUGAAGCUGGAAUCGCUAGUAAACGCAAAUCAGCCUCGUUGCGUUGAAUACGUUCUCAGGUCUUGUACUCACCGCCCGUCACGUCAAGAGAGUCGGAAAUACCCGAAGUGCCCUUUGGGCCCUAAGGUAGAGCCGAUAAUAGGGACGAAGUCGUAACAAGGCA
rnacentral:rRNA from 1 species